GACAUUUGUUUGCGAUCUAAAUUAAUUAUAAAUUUUAAAACACCUUCUCAUUGAAAAGCAAAAUUGUCAGUAAAAGUAAAUACUGACAUGUGGGAAAAGAUUAAUUGCGAGACAUGUGCUUAAAGUUUGUCUUUAUGUUAACAUUUAAUUUUUGAACAUUUUUAAUGCCAUUUCAGGUAAACUUUGACAACUAUGAAGCAGUUCUGUCAUUUGUCCUUGUGAACAACAAUCACUAGAAGUUGCUGUACAUCAAUGCAGAAGCCAGAACUGUAUUCCUAAUAGAUCCUGCACAAGUAUCAUCUGAGCUUGUGGACUCCCAAAAGGCAGCUAAAAGAAUACAAGAAUACUUCAAAAUGAGAAGGACAUGCCAUGGAAAAACAGACUGGGUUGGGAUCCAAUGGAAAGGGGGGACAAUGCGCCACCCUAUUCAACAAGACGGAAGCAGCUGUGGAGUUAUUGUAGUCAAAAUGGCAAAAGCACUGAUGGAAGCCUUCCCUCUGAUGCCAGAUGUAGAUUUUGACACAACAAAAAAGGCAAUGAAAAGUGAAAGAAGAACUCUCGCUCUUCAAAUCCUUGAUGCAUCAGUAUUUGAUGACCACUGUUGGUGUGCGAUGUGCGCUGCAUACAAAGCCCCGGGGUCUGGCCCUGGAAUGACAGACUGGGUGAGAAAUCAAGAGUUGUCAAUGUAAAAUUCAGA